GGCAUCUGGUUUUUGUUACAUCAAUGGCUUGGUUUUGGGGAUUUUGGAGCUUCUAAAAUAUCAUCCACGCGUUCUAUACAUUGGUAUAGAUGUGCAGCAUGGUGAUGGUGUUGAAGAAGCAUUCUAUUUUACAGACAGACCAAUUAUUGCUUGCUGAAUCUGUUAACCCACAAUCAUAACAGCAUCAAGAAAGAAGCCUGUUGAACAAUCUCAAACAUUACUGCCGGAAACAAGGAACAGAUACAGAUUGGUUUUUCAUGACGUUUGGAAGUAUACUUGCAAAUGAAGAUCAAUUGUUGAAUUUUGUUUCGUGAACUGAUACUUAGUUGUAGUUUCAAAUCAAGAUUGAGUGUUGAUUUUUUUUUGUGGAUUUCACGGUAGUUCAU